rnacentral:sRNA from 1 species
UAGAUUCAGUUCUUGCGGUUCCCCCGUGC